GAUUUUCCUUCUGUUGUUUUUAGCAUGUUUGGUUUCACAUGGUUAGCAUGUUAAGUUGUUUAGCAUGGUUCACAUGGUUCCUUUAACACACUUUAAUAUAGUUAUGGUCCUUGGUAAAACUUAGCUCCUAGUCCGUGCAAAGGAAAUGAUUGAUGAAAUACCAUGUUUUGAAUGUUUUGAAAACUUAAAAAUAUUUGUAGUUACUUACGAAAAUUUUAAGAGGAUUGUCC
rnacentral:lncRNA from 1 species